rnacentral:rRNA from 1 species
CACGUAGGCUGAUAUUUAAGUCAGGGGUGAAAUCCCGGGGCUCAACCCCGGAACUGCCUUUGAUACUGGGUAUCUUGAGUAUGGAAGAGGUCAGUGGAAUUGCGAGUGUAGAGGUGAAAUUCGUAGAUAUUCGCAAGAACACCAGUGGCGAAGGCGGCUCACUGGGCCAUUACUGACGCUGAGGCACGAAAGCGUGGGAGCAAACA